AUGGGCGUAGGAAAUUUGAGGAGAGCUUUCCCUAGUACGAGAGGACCGGGAAGGACAGACCUCUGGUGUACCGGUUGUUCCGCCAGGAGCACCGCCGGGUAGCUAUGUCUGGAUGAGAUAAGCGCUGAAAGCAUCUAAGCACGAAGCCAACUCCAAGAUUAGAUCUCCCAUCCAAAUUUAUUUGGAGUAAGGCCUCCGGUAGACUACCGGGUUGAUAGGCCGCAGGUGUAAGGCCCGUGAGGGCUUAAGCUGAGCGGUACUAAUUGGCCGAGGACUUGACCCAU
rnacentral:rRNA from 1 species